rnacentral:tRNA from 1 species
GGGGAUAUAGCUCAGUUAGUAGAGUAUUUGCCUAGAAUGCCUGAGACCUUGGGUUCAAUCCCCAACACCCCA